AUUAUUAAAAAUUUUGACGAUAGAAACACUAAGAAAGCUAUUUACUGCGUCUAAGAAAAUAUUUGUUGGUUUUAGCCUCUUUUUGGAUAAAAUGGGUAUAAGUGUUGUCUAAACACUUCUAAUCCAUCUCUAACUCUUAUAAUUAGUCGAAUGCAUUGGAUUGUGAUACCUUUUAACCAUAAAAACACUAACAAAGCUAUUUAGUUCUUCUAAGCAAUAUUUUGUUGGUUAUAGCAUCUUUUCAGAGUAAAUGGGUAUAAGUGUUGUCUAAACACUCCUAAUCCAUCGCUAGCUCUUAUAACUAGUCAAAUGCUUUGGAUUGUGACACAUUUUGACCAUAGAAACACUAACAAAUCUAUUGAGUUGUUCUAAGCAAGUUUUUGUUGGUUUUAACCUCUUCUGGGAGGAAAUUGGUAUAAGUGUUGUCUAAACACUUCUUAUCCAUCUCUAACUCUUAUAAUUAGUCAAUUGCAUUGGGUUAUGACACAUUUUGACCAUAGAAACACUAACAAAUCUACUGACUGCUUCUAAGCAAGUUUUGUUGGUUUUAGCCUCUUUUGGGAUAAAAUAGGUAUAAGUGUUGUCUAAACACUUCUAAUCCAUCUCUAACUCUUAUAAUUAGUCGAAUGCAUUGGAUUGUGAUACCUUUUGACCAUAAAAACACUAACAAAGCUAUUUACUGCUUCUAAGCAAUAUUUUGUUGGUUAUAGCUUCUUUUGUAAGUAAAUGGGUAUAAGUGUUGUCUAAACACUCCUAAUCCAUCGCUAGCUCUUAUAAUUAGUCAAAUGCAUUGGAUUGUGACACAUUUUGACCAUAGAAACACUAACAAAUCUAUUGAGUUGUUCUAAGCAAGUUUUGUUGGUUUUAGCCUCUUUUGGGAGGAAAUGGGUAUAAGUAUUGUCUAAACACUUAUUAUCCAUCUCUAACUCUUAUAUUAGUCAAUUGCAUUGGAUUGUGACACAUGUUGACCAUAGAAACGCUAACAAAUAUAUUGACUGCUUCUAAGCAAGUUUUGUUUGUUUUAGCCUCUUUUGGGAGAAAAUGUGUAUACGUCUUGGCUAAAGACUCCUAAUCUAUCUCUAACUCUAUCAUUAGUCAAAUGCAUU
rnacentral:sRNA from 1 species